UACGGGGGAGCAAGCGUUGUUCGGAUUUACUGGGCGUAAAGGGCGCGUAGGCGGCCACCGCAAGUCGACUGUGAAAUCUCCGGGCUUAACCCGGAAAGGUCAGCCGAUACUGCGGGGCUAGAGUGCAGGAAGGGGCAACUGGAAUUCUCGGUGUAGCGGUAGAAAUGAUGUAGAGAUCGGGAGAACACCGGUGGCGAAGGCGGGUCUCUGGGCGAUCUCCUGACGCUGAGGCGCGAAAGCGUGGGGAGCAAACGGG
rnacentral:rRNA from 1 species